rnacentral:rRNA from 1 species
UACGUAGGGGGCGAGCGUUGUCCGGAAUCAUUGGGCGUAAAGCGCGUGUAGGCGGCCCGGUAAGUCCGCUGUGAAAGUCGGGGGCUCAACCCUCGAAUGCCGGUGGAUACUGUCGGGCUAGAGUGCGGAAGAGGCGAGUGGAAUUCCUGGUGUAGCGGUGAAAUGCGCAGAUAUCAGGAGGAACACCAAUUGCGAAGGCAGCUCGCUGGGACGUGACUGACGCUGAGACGCGAAAGCGUGGGGAGCAAACAGG